GCGCUUGUAGCUCAGUUGGAUAGAGUUACGGACUUCGAAUCCGGAGGUCGGAGGUUCGAAUCCUCUCAGGCGCACCA
rnacentral:tRNA from 2 species